CAUGUUCCCCCUUGGUCCCCCCACAGGUGACGUUCUGCGGGGCUGUGCUGCCAGCAAUGCUUGCUGAGCCCGUGCGAGGAGAUCUCACCAGGACUGCUGGCAUCAUCCCAGAGAGACCCUUUGCAGACUGACUCCACAUCCUCAGAGCUGAUCUGACUGGGGCCUACCAAAUCCAUUAACGACGUCGAAAGUAGCCUACUUUAAGAGAAAAUAUGCAGAAGAAGAACAUCUACAUCAAGAUUACCAUGAGUACUGUCCAAAACACCUGAUAAUCCCUGAGGACCGGACUUGUAUUCUAAAACUUUCUCUCCAGAAACUCCGAUUCCUGGAAGAUCCCGAAGCCUAUCUCCGUAGGUCGGUGUUAAUUAACAAUCUGUUGAGGAAGAUUCACCUAGAGACAGAGAGGGAGAGCUAUGAAUACUUUAAGGAGGCUCCGUGCUAUAGGACUGCUUACUCUGACUCACGAAAACGGCUGAAGUUUAUGGUACACGAGUGCUGUUCUCAGUCACUCUAUUAUGAAGAGCUGCAUUCGUAUCG